GUUUCCGCUGUCGGCGGGCGGCGACGCGGCCGCGUCCGCCCCGACGCUCCUGCUGGGGGCUCUGCUGCGGUCCCCACCCUUCGCGUGCCGGCCGGCUCUCCUCUGCAACACAAGAGACGGGCCGCGGGAGGUGAGAAGGGUGGAGCACGAAACUACAACCCUGAGCUCAAGACGUGCACCCUCCACGGACUGAGCCAGCCAGACACCCCCUUAGGAUUGCUCUUUAAGAUCUUAUGUAUUCAUUUGACAGAGAUAGAGCCCAAGCAGGGAGGACAGCAGGCAGAGGGAGAGCGGGAAGCAGGCUCCCUGUUCGUCAGGCCCUGAAGGUCUGAAGGCAGAUGCUUGACGGACUGAGCCUCCCAGGUGCCCCUCACAUAUCUUUGAAACAGAGCUGAAGCACUUAGAAUUUGUGGGUAGAUGGGAACAAGUCUUUCUACGUUCUUUAAAAACGUAAAAACCCCCAAGACUGAUAGUCCUGUGUUAACUGUCAGCUGCUCAUGUCCCAUCUGGGAAUCCUGCUUGUGGCAUUCGCCAGCGGCAGAGCCCGUGACAGCAGCUCUGCCUCUUUCCAGGCUGCCCAUCUUUUGAGAUUCAUUUUGAGGAUGACCUCCUGCAGAAAGUCUUCAGUGAUCCCUCAACUGAAGAUCAACACCUCCCUUUUGGGGCCCCCAUGAAGCCCCACAUAGAGCUCAUCCCCUUCGCGGGGGUCGCGUUUCCCUGCUCCCCGGGCUCAGCGUCUGAGCUCCCUGAGGAUCCUAUCUCCCGACCCCUGCAUCUUGCACGUUAACUGGCAGAAGGUCCCCUUUCUAAAUGGUGCUCAGGAAAUAUUUGAAGACUCAAAUACUUUAUGAAAAAGUGGUCAUUUGGUUUCUAUGAUGAUAAUGUAUUGAUCUCCAGAACAUGCAUUAAAAAAUAAAAUCAUAGCAAGUGAGCCAAGUCUUGGAAGCGAAAUAAAAGGCUUCUUAGGUAUUGUUACAUCUAUGAUGGUCAUUGAUGGUUAGUAUGACUCUUUUAAGCUUUAACUCUUCCUUCUCCUCCUCACAAAAAUUACCCUUUAGGCACACCAGCUUAUGAUAACUGUACCUAGAGAAUUUUAUGUUAAUUUGAGAUAUUAAAAUGUCUCAUAUUACAGCCAAAUGUAAAAAUAAUUCGCUUUUCCCCUUUCCCCUUUCUCCUGCUUUAGGAAAGGGGAAGAUUCUUCUUCUUCUUUUUUUUUUUUUUUUUUUAAGAUUUAAUUUAUUUAUUUGACAGACAGAGAUCACAAGUAGGCAGAAAAGCAAGAGAGAGAGAGAGAAAGAGAGAGAGGAGGAAGCAGGCUCCCUGCUGAGCAGAGAGCCCAACGUGGGGCUCAAUUCCAGGACCCUGGGAUCAUGAGCUGAGCCAAAGGCAGAGGCUUUAACCCACUGAGGCACCCAGGUGCCCCGGGGAAGAUUAUUCUUAUAACAAUAUACCAAGAAAGGUGAAGAUAGAUACAUUUGCCUGUUUUAAAAUCAAAAACUUCUGUUAAUCAAAAGACAUCACAAAAAGAGUAAAAAGACAAGCCACAAAGUAUUAGGGAAGAUAAUUUCAACACGUGUAACAAAUAAAGGACUCAUAUCCAGUAUAUAUAUAAAAAGGUCUUAUAAAUAGAACUUCAAUUGUAGGAGAAAGAUUUAAAUGGAUUCUUUACAAAAGAAAAAUCCAAGUGACCAAUAAACAUGAAAAUAUGUUCAAUCUCAGUAGUAACUACGUAAAUACGAAUUAAAACCACACUGAGAUCAUACUGUAUCCACACUAGGAUGGCAAAAUGUAAAAAUCUGACAAUAUUUUUAUUGGAGCAAUAGGGACUUCCUAUUCUGUGGUUAGGAGCACAAACUGCAAUAUUCCACUUGGAAAGAGUUUGGCAUUUAUCUAAUAAAACUGAAGAAAUGUCCUAUGGCCCAGCGAUUCCACUUCUAGAUCUAUACCCUUGAGAAGCUCAUGGCCCCAUAUGCUAGGAUCCCUGCUCAUGUCCAGGACAGCGCUGCUUGUCAGAACCGAGCGUUGGAGGCAACGUCAUCACCAGUAAGCGGGGUGGAUUAAUAAAUUGCUGUAGGAAACAACAAGGGUACAUCUCACAAUGUUAAGUGAAAGAAACAACAUGUUGAAGUAUAUUUUCUG